rnacentral:rRNA from 1 species
GAUGAACGCUAGCGACAGGCCUAACACAUGCAAGUCGAGGGGCAGCACGGUGUAGCAAUACACGGGGUGGCGACCGGCGCACGGGUGAGUAACGCGUAUGCAACCUGCCUACUACAAGGGGAUAACCCGUUGAAAGACGGACUAAUACCCUAUAACACAGGGAAUCCGCAUGGAUAUAUUUGUUAAAGAUUUAUCGGUAGUAGAUGGGCAUGCGUUCCAUUAGCUUGUUGGUGAGGUAACGGCUCACCAAGGCAACGAUGGAUAGGGGAACUGAGAGGUUGAUCCCCCACACUGGAACUGAGACACGGUCCAGACUCCUACGGGAGGCAGCAGUGAGGAAUAUUGGUCAAUGGACGAGAGUCUGAACCAGCCAAGUCGCGUGAAGGAAGACGGCCCUACGGGUUGUAAACUUCUUUUGUAAGGGAAUAAAUAGUCUUACGCGCUAAGACGUUGCAGGUACCUUACGAAUAAGGAUCGGCUAACUCCGUG